UACGGGGGGGGCAAGCGUUGUUCGGAAUUACUGGGCGUAAAGGGCUCGUAGGCGGCCAACUAAGUCAGACGUGAAAUCCCGCGGCUUAACCGGGGAACUGCGUCUGAUACUGGAUGGCUUGAGGUUGGGAGAGGGAUGCGGAAUUCCAGGUGUAGCGGUGAAAUGCGUAGAUAUCUGGAGGAACACCGGUGGCGAAGGCGGCAUCCUGGACCAAAUCUGACGCUGAGGAGCGAAAGCCAGGGGAGCAAACGGG
rnacentral:rRNA from 1 species